AACGAACGCUGGCGGCAGGCUUAACACAUGCAAGUCGAGCGCCCCGCAAGGGGAGCGGCAGACGGGUGCGUAACGCGUGGGAACGUACCUUUUGGUUCGGAACAACUCCGGGAAACUGGAGCUAAUACCGGAUAAGCCCUAACGGGGAAAGAUUUAUCGCCGAACGAUCGGCCCGCGUCUGAUUAGCUAGUUGGUGAGGUAACGGCUCACCAAGGCGACGAUCAGUAGCUGGUCUGAGAGGAUGAUCAGCCACACUGGGACUGAGACACGGCCCAGACUCCUACGGGAGGCAGCAGUGGGGAAUAUUGGACAAUGGGGGCAAGCCUGAUCCAGCCAUGCCGCGUGAGUGAGGAAGGCCUUAGGGUUGUAAAGCUCUUUUGUCCGGGAAGAUAAUGACUGUACCGGAAGAAUAAGCCCCGGCUAACUUCGUG
rnacentral:rRNA from 1 species